UGGGGAAUAUUGGGCAAUGGACGAAAGUCUGACCCAGCCAUGCCGCGUGAGUGAUGAAGGCCUUAGGGUUGUAAAGCUCUUUCACCGAUGAAGAUAAUGACGGUAGUCGGAGAAGAAGCCCCGGCUAACUUCGUGCCAGCAGCCGCGGUAAUACGAAGGGGGCUAGCGUUGUUCGGAUUUACUGGGCGUAAAGCGAGCGUAGGCUGUAUCGCAAGUCAGUGGUGAAAUCCCGGGGCUCAACUCCGGAACUGCCAUUGAAACUGCGAUACUGGAAUCUCAGAGGGGAUAGCGGAAUUCCAAAUGUAGGGGUGAAAUCCGUAGAUAUUUGGAGGAACACCGGUGGCGAAGGCGGCUAUCUGGAUGAGUAUUGACGCUGAGGCUCGAAAGCGUGGGGAUCAAACAGG
rnacentral:rRNA from 1 species